GAAACAGGGUGUGAAAACGGCUCCAAAGUGAGGAACAUAUGCUGAUAUUUUUGUGGAAUUAGCUGGGAAGCUAGUGAUGCAAUUGUUUCAGACUGUCAACAAAAAUUAAGAUAUCGAUCCAUUUAUCUUCCAGUGUUACUUUAAUUAGCAACAAUUGUAUGGAAUGUACUGGUCAGCUGUGUAUCCUGGAGCCAACUAGCACUUCCAAAACAAUCUCUGUCAAAGAAAAUCACACCAGGAGCUCCGCAGUGUACGAAAAAUGAAUGGACAUGGAAUUAUUCCAAGAUAACAAUCUCGGUUUAGGGUUCAGAUGACUGUUAUAAAACAAUAAGCUCUGCUUUUAUGAUUUUUGACAUUGGUUGUAUCGCUCAGUCAGAUAGCUGCCUUGAAAUUAUUCCCCAUGUAUUCACUGUUCUCUAUAUGAUGCUGUCUGUUGAGUUAUUCUUGUCAUGUAUCACUGUUAGAAAUUGUAGGGUCCAGCUUCCACUCCUCUGGCUCAUUGCAGUCCCUUCCUGUUAUUCCAUUCCAUCACUGGUAUCAGCACCUUACUAAACAUGUGUGACUUUCUCUUCCAUGCUUCAAGAUUUUGCAAUACAUUUUAUCUCAAUUGUACAUUUUUUCAACAUUGGGUAGAAUAGUGCAGUGAUUAUGUCAGUGGUUCAGUAAUUCACAAGUGUGCAUAAUAAUCAACAAAAUGUACAUUUGAAGUCACAAUGGCAGUAUAAGAAUGUGAGCUCAGUUUAAACAAAUAUAAAAGUGACCAUGAAACUAAUUAAUGUCCUUAAGGGAAAGAAAGCCUAAGUUUAUAAAGCACUGGGGCAGAAGUAGGCCAGUCAGUCUAUUGGGUCAGCUCCAUCAUUCAAUGAGAUCAUGGCUGAUCUGAUAAUCCUCAGUUCCACUUUCCCUGCCUUUCCCCAUAAGCCUCGAGUCCCUUCCUGAUUAAAAAUCUGUCGAUCCCAGCCUUGAAUAUACUUCACAACCCAACUGCUUCAGUGAGAUGGGAAAUUUCUCCCCAUCUAUGACUUAAACAUGUGAGGUUAUUCUGAGAUUGUACCCUUUGGUCCUACUACUGUCUCAUAAUGGAAAACAACCUUCACCUGUCAAGUCCUCUAACAAUCUUGUAAAUUUCAACAAUGUUGCCUCUCAUUGCUCUAUAUUCCAAUGAUCACAGGUUCAACCUAUUCAUACUGUCCUCAUAAGACUGGCAGUCCAUACCUGGUAUCAGCUAGUGACCCUUCUCUGGGUUGCCUCCGAUGCUAGUGUACUAUUUAAUGAUAAGGUGCCAAAAGCAGUUCACAAUGCUCUCUCUGUGGCCCGACUAGUACCUUGUAUAAUUUUAGCAAGACCUCCUUACUUUUAGAUUCUAUUCCCUUUGAAAUAACGGCCAACAUUCCAUUUUCCUUUUUUAAUUACCUGCUGAACUUAGAUACUAGCUUCUUGUGAUUCAUUGACAAGGAUUCCCAAAUCGCUUUGUUCUAUUUCUGCAGCCUUUCACCAUUUAAACAAUUUUCUGCUCCUUUAUUCUUCCUGCAAAAGUGUAUAAACUCACAUUUCUCCAAAUUAUAUUCCUCUGCCAGGUUUUUGCCCCUCAGUUUGCUUGUUUCUUUCCCUCUGCAGACUCUUUGUGUCAUCCUCACGAUUUGUCGUCCUCCAUAUUUUCAUGUCAUCAACAAACAUUGCUAUAGUACGUUCAUUUUCCUCAUCCAAGUCAUUAGUAUUUAUUGUAAAUAAUUGUGGCACCGUACUGAUCUUUGUGGCACUGCAGUAGUUACAGGUUGCUAUCCUGAAAGCGCAUCCCUUAUCCCAACUCUUUGCCUUCUAUUAGUACUGGUCUUGCCCAAUAUGACCAUAUGAGAGUUGAAUCACACAAAUGUGGUUUUAACUCUCAGACGUCCUUCAAAAUGACCCAAUCUUCAACAAUUAUCAUACAUCAAUUCAUGAAGAAGCGUAUUGUAUACACCACUCUCUGAAAUGCAACAAGUGGCAAGCAAAAAAGAAAAGUCAUUGUGCUUUCUUGAGUUUGUUGUUAUUUUUGAUCCAGUCUCACCUGGUUUGAGUUCCAAACGAGUUCCACCAACAAGAUUACAAUCUGAACAAUUUGUUAGCAAAUUGUUUGCAUGCUCAUCCCACAGAUAUAUGGAGAAACAAAGUCUGCUUCAUUCUCCUCAGGCCUCCUCCUGUGCAUCUGCUCAUUCCGUAGGCCACCCAGUUUGUUCUAGCUUAAUUGUGCAAUCUGCAUGCCUGUUGGCGUCAUUAGGCAAAACCACAAUUCAUUCUUCUGUGACUCCUGUUACAUCAAUGUGACAGUGAAAAAGAAUCAUACUAUUAGGAGGUAUAGUAAUUUCAGGGAAAGUUUUAUUUGUUUGACCUUAUCAUUAUUCACUGGAGAUAGAGGGAAAAUUGCCAAACCAUAGCACUAGAAGUGAACACCGGCAGAUUGGGAAUGCACUAGACUGCUUAUACAAUUCCACAUAAUUGCAAUUGUUUCCUUCAUGCAUUAGAGUUGUAGCAAGUAGUUUUGGCUGCAUAUUCCAAUAUCACAAUAUCUCCACACUGCUUGGAUUAAUCACAAGUUUUCUGUUGAGAGACAAACAAAUUCCAGGCAGCUUCAACAUACGCCUUGGGGUGCAUUUUAUAUUCUAUCUCUCCUGCACUUGCAUGUCAUCGGGUAAGCAGCAAAUGGGGAUUUAGAACUCUAGAAAGCUAAACAGCAUAAUCUCUAAGAUUCUAGAUUGAAGGAAUGGAGAAGGACUUUUAAAUAAAAUCAUUUUGAGCUCUUUCUUUGUUAGUUGCUCAGAUUUCGCAGUAUGUAGCAAAAUGACUGUGCUUGCAGCUAGUGUUGAAGAAAGUUGCCUACAAUGAUCCAGCAAGCUGGAUUUUCCCUUUCCUGACAUUCAUUUCAUUCCACUGGUAGCUCCGCGUUACCUCUGGUGUCUAACAACCAGAGUCAUCAUCAGGCACAUUAAGCAGUCGAACAUGUCAAGAAUAAAAAUUCUUUGGAGAGAAGAAAUCUGCAAGUAACAAACAGAUUUUUAUUCUCAAAAGUUUGCAGAUUUUCAAAG